rnacentral:lncRNA from 1 species
CGCGACCAUUCGCGACCGCCAUUGUGCUCAAGUCGUCAGAACCAAGGCCAUCUGUCAGAGAACCGAGCAAGCGUCCCAGUCCUCGAAGGUGACUCUGCGGAAGAACAGCUUCCGACAGAAACUUCGGAACAGUCAACAGAUUCAAGAACUGUCGAAAGCCACUGAGCAUUGAGCAACGCCGUCAUCGACACGGAAAGACGAGCCAGGGGCAUCGUUGUGAAAAAGCGUGCGGCAGCUGAAGAGGGGAUGCCGGGGAUGUUUCCCAAAACGAAGAAGUCGAAGCUAGACAUCUGCACCGAAACCGCCAAGUUCAGUGCCAAGCUAAAGCACGCCGAUGUCACUCACAAAGACAUCUGUUCUCAAAGAUUCCUUCGAGGUUCGGCGGAUAUGCCUCACGAGCAACCGAAACCGGAAGACUGGCGAGGAGAUGAAGGAGAUAUUCCCGGAUAUGUACAGCGAAGCUGCCGUGUGGACUGACUUGGGAAUGAUCAUGGGGCUCGAGGAGGACGUGAAGGAGCAUGUCCUGCAC